AUUCAUAUAGUUUAAUUAAAACAUUUUAUUUUCAUUAAAAAAACAAUUUUUUACUAUUUAUGAAUU
rnacentral:tRNA from 1 species